AGGGGGCGGCCGUGGCGAGGUGGGGUGGCUGUGCCGGGGGAUCGCGGCGCUGCCCCAGCGAGAGCCUCGGGAACAGGCUCUGCCCCCUCAUAGCUGAGAACCGCAGCAUGGGCCAGGCUGGAAGGGACCACAGCGGGUCAUCUGGUCCAACCUCCCUGCUCAGGCAGGGUUAUCCCAGAGCACAGGGUUGCGUCUGAAUACCUCCAGCGAGGAAGACUCCACACCCUCUGGGCAACCUGUUCCAUUGGGCUUCCACAGCUGUGUGAAAUCCACUCCCCACUCUGGCCCAGCAUGGAAAGGAAGACAAGCCAAAGGAAGAAUGACCCAAACCAAUCUGCUGAAGGGCUACUAAUGUGCACAUAUGAUCUGUCUUGACAGCACUCUUCCCACUGACCAUAAAGGUACCUGGGAUGGCCUCAUUAUUCUAAAAUUAGAUCUCAGACAUGUUUUAAUGGACAACAUGGAGUGAGAGCUGAGAAAUAAUGCUUCAGAUGAACAUCACAUACAUCCUCACACAACUAUGCUGAGCCCAAAACAGGAGUAUGUAAUUGUUCAGAAGUAUUACAGUCACGGAGCAGAACAAAAAGUUACUAAUAAAGUGUUCAUAUAAUGUGUUUCCUUAAGCAAGUAAUUAA